UACGUAGGUGACAAGCGUUGUCCGGAUUUACUGGGCGUAAAGAGCGCGCAGGCGGUCGGAUCAGUCGAAUGUGAAAGCCCCCGGCUUAACUGGGGAGGGUCAUUCGAUACUGUUCGACUCGAAGGCAGGAGAGGGAAGUGGAAUUCCCGGUGUAGUGGUGAAAUGCGUAGAUAUCGGGAGGAACACCAGUGGCGAAGGCGACUUUCUGACCUGUUCUUGACGCUGAGGCGCGAAAAGCUAGGGGAGCAAACGGGG
rnacentral:rRNA from 1 species